rnacentral:misc_RNA from 1 species
GCGGGAGCUGAUUGAUGGCGGCGAUUCGAGUGCCGGUCGGAUUCUACAUCGUAAUGUCAACGCCAGUUCUCAAAGGUUUUAGUAAGCCGAGUUGCAGUCUUUCGAUCAGUAUAAGAAGUUUGAAUACCGAUCGGUGCUGUGAUGAACUAUCAUCUUACAAAUUGCACCUGGGGGUUUCUGCAGUUAGGACGCUGAACUUCUUGUGUAUUGGAAGUAAAGGAGUUAAAUACAUAGAUUCAGUAACAUUCACUCUGUUUGAUGAGUUUCUUCUCUAUCAUUUUGAAUAAAU